AACGAACGCUGGCGGCAGGCCUAACACAUGCAAGUCGAGCGAACUCUUCGGAGUUAGCGGCGGACGGGUUAGUAACGCGUGGGAAUAUACCCAAAGGUACGGAACAACAGUUGGAAACGACUGCUAAUACCGUAUGUGCCCUACGGGGGAAAGAUUUAUCGCCUUUGGAUUAGCCCGCGUUGGAUUAGGUAGUUGGUGGGGUAACGGCCUACCAAGCCUACGAUCCAUAGCUGGUUUGAGAGGAUGAUCAGCAACACUGGGACUGAGACACGGCCCAGACUCCUACGGGAGGCAGCAGUGGGGAAUCUUGGACAAUGGGGGCAACCCUGAUCCAGCCAUGCCGCGUGAACGAUGAAGGCCUUAGGGUUGUAAAGUUCUUUCAGCUGGGAAGAUAAUGACGGUACCAGCAGAAGAAGCCCCGGCUAACUCCGUGCCAGCAGCCGCGGUAA
rnacentral:rRNA from 1 species